AUUGAACGCUGGCGGCAGGCCUAACACAUGCAAGUCGAGCGGUAACAGGAAACAGCUUGCUGUUUCGCUGACGAGUGGCGGACGGGUGUGUAAUGUCUGGGAAACUGCCUGAUGGAGGGGGAUAACUACUGGAAACGGUAGCUAAUACCGCAUAACGUCGCAAGACCAAAGAGGGGGACCUUCGGGCCUCUUGCCAUCGGAUGUGCCCGGAUGGGAUUAGCUAGUAGGUGGGGUAACGGCUCACCGAGGCGACGAUCCCUAGCUGGUCUGAGAGGAUGACCAGCCACACUGGAACUGAGACACGGUCCAGACUCCUACGGGAGGCAGCAGUGGGGAAUAUUGCACAAUGGGCGAAAGCCUGAUGCAGCCAUGCCGCGUGUAUGAAGAAGGCCUUCGGGUUGUAAAGUACUUUCAGCGGGGAGGAAGGGAGUAAAGUUAAUACCUUUGCUCAUUGACGUUACCCGCAGAAGAAGCACCGGCUAACUCCGUG
rnacentral:rRNA from 1 species